rnacentral:rRNA from 1 species
GAUGAACGCUGGCGGCGUGCCUAAUACAUGCAAGUCGAGCGAACAGACGAGGAGCUUGCUCCUCUGACGUUAGCGGCGGACGGGUGAGUAACACGUGGAUAACCUACCUAUAGGACUGGGAUAACUUCGGGAAACCGGAGCUAAUACCGGAUAAUAUAUUGAACCGCAUGGUUCAAUAGUGAAAGACGGUUUUGCUGUCACUUAUAGAUGGAUCCGCGCCGCAUUAGCUAGUUGGUAAGGUAACGGCUUACCAAGGCAACGAUGCGUAGCCGACCUGAGAGGGUGAUCGGCCACACUGGAACUGAGACACGGUCCAGACUCCUACGGGAGGCAGCAGUAGGGAAUCUUCCGUAAUGGGCGAAAGCCUGACGGAGCAACGCCGCGUGAGUGAUGAAGGUCUUCGGAUCGUAAAACUCUGUUAUUAGGGAAGAACAAAUGUGUAAGUAACUAUGCACGUCUUGACGGUACCUAAUCAGAAAGCCACGGCUAACUACGUG